AACGCACAUUGCGCCCGCCAGCAUUCUGGCGGGCAUGCCUGUUCGAGCGUCAUUUCAACCCUCAAGCCCCGCUUGGUGUUGGGGCCCUACCGUCGGCGUAGGCCCUCAAAGGCAGUGGCGGACCCCCGCGGAGCCUCCUUUGCGCAGUAACUAACGUCUCGCACUGGGAUCCGGAGGGGCCCCCGCCGUAAAACCCCCAACUCUCCAAUGGUUGACCUCGGAUCAGGUAGGAAUACCCGCUGAACUUAA
rnacentral:misc_RNA from 1 species